ensembl:lncRNA
AUGGAAAUGUCACUGGAUCCGCUCUUGCCGCCUGUGAAGCUCUCACUCCUCCCGCCUCGGAAAGCGACCGGUCUGUUCCCGCCAGUCUCAGGGUCACACACCGACAACAAAGUCAGCUCUGGAGACGCCGGCAGGGCCCCAACCAGAGUGGCAGCAGCUGGCACUGCAGCAGGCUUGACGGCCUGUGGGGGGUCCAGGAUCUAUGGCCACGUUAUUUUUACCAUCUCCCUUUGCUGUGAGACCCGGGCGGAGCAGUCCCAGAGUAGCACUGCGGAGAUGCGGGCCCGGGACACGGAGCUGGAAACGCAGCAUCCUGAGAGGGAGGAGCUGGCCUGGCAGCCGGGCUCUGUUCCUGUCCCCCAUAGAGCAGGUGUGCUGCAGGACCGCAGCCAGAGCAGGGUAUCCAGAAACACCGCAGCCCAGCCAGAGCAGGUGUCCUGCAAUACUGAAGCCUGGUGCAUGCUGUCCCCUCGGUGUGGACUCAGAGCAGCACCUUCUGGAUCCCUCCGCUGCAGUGCAGCAUCGCGCAGUGAGGCCCGUCCCGCCCUGGGCUCCUUUCCUGAGCCCGGGGGACCAGCUUGUCACAAACCCUGUGAGCCUGGGGGGCCAGCUUGUCGCAAAGCCUGGAAUGAGGCCAUGGCCCCACCCACUUUCCUUCGACUUCUUUUCGGGGAGCUGAUUCAGGGGAGCCUGGAUGCCAGAGUCUCGGGGGCUGGGAGUGCCAAGCCAGAGUCCCCACGAGAUGCAGAGGAAACGGUGGUGCCAGGAGGCGUCCCUGAUGAACGGGCAGCUUAGUUCCGGAUCACUGGAGGUUCAGAGCCGUAGUGAAUAAUUCAGCAUCCUAAAUAAAACAUGAGAACAUUUAGAUGAGCCAGCAUUUUCCAUUCUUUUCUUCAACAAAAACUGCGUGACAAUAUUGAACCAGGAUGUGGUCCAAGUGCCACAUGUCCCCUUCCUGGGUUCUCUCCCCCAAGGCAGAGGCUGCUCCUGAGCCUUGGGCCGUAGAAAUUCAGGGCGUCACACUCCCAGAGGGCUGUGAGACCGGCGGACUCCUCGCCACAUGCCUGGGCUGAAGUGCUGUCACAAGAACAGAGAUUGUUGCCACCCCAACAACGCACCGGGAAAACCAAACCACAGGCUGCCCCUGUUACUCCGGGACCGUGAGGCCACACCCACCAUGGGGGAGGCACCGGGGUCCCGUGUGCCGGGGUCUCUCAGUGACACAGGGGCUCCUUGUCCACAGGGGCGCACGCCUGAGUCACCUGAGCUUCACGAUGUCCCAGUUCCAUUGCAGAACCCACGGGCGGUGCUCGAGCCCGGCUCCAGCCUGGUCCCAUUGAACUCCUGGGUGUCCGAGGGCUCUGCACAGACAGACACACCCUCAUUCCAGCAGGCGCAGGCGGGUUGGGAGACGCACAAGAAGCUCUGGAAGCUGGACUUCAAUUCGUCUUUCCUCAUUCAACACAAGGACGUCACUCAUCGCAGGAGGGACCCUGCCUCCCAGGCCUGGACCCCAGUCGCUGCGAUUGGACGUUCCAGUUAAAAAUACAACUUCAGAAGCACAUCAUUCGAGCUGGCCUCGAGAGCAACCAAAUAUUCUUACACAGAAAGUCCAGGACCACUCGCAGCUAGCACCAGUAAAUGCCGUUCUCUUCCUCUAACAGCAAUAGGUUUGUUUAAAAAAAGUCCGCACUUUCUAAC